rnacentral:rRNA from 1 species
UAGGGAAUCUUCCACAAUGGACGCAAGUCUGAUGGAGCAACGCCGCGUGAGUGAAGAAGAUCUUCGGAUCGUAAAACUCUGUUGUUAGAGAAGAACACGAGUGAGAGCAACUGUUCAUUCGAUGACGGUAUCUAACCAGCAAGUCACGGCUAACUACGUGCCAG